AGAGAGAGACAUGCGCGCAUAUCAAUAAGCGGAGGAAAAGAAACUAACUAGGAUUCCCUCAGUAACGGCGAGUGAAGCGGGAAGAGCUCAAAUUUGAAAUCUUCAAGGUUUUACCUUGACGAAUUGUAGUUUAAAGAAGUGUUUUCUGUUGGAGUUUUGGUAAAAGUUCUUUGGAAUAGGACAUCAUAGAGGGUGAGAAUCCCGUAUUUGAUCAUUCUCCUAACUUUGUGAUACACUUUCAACGAGUCGGAUUGUUUGGGAAUGCAGUCCAAAAUGGGUGGUAAAUUUCAUCUAAAGCUAAAUACUGGCGAGAGACCGAUAGCGAACAAGUACCGUGAGGGAAAGGUGAAAAGAACUUUGAAAAGAGAGUUAAACAGUACGUGAAAUUGUCAAAAGGGAAGCGUUUGACACCAGUGUUGUUUUCUCGAAAAUCAAUUAAAAAUGGCAGGAUUUUGUGUUGUAUUGACUUUAUCAGCUUUCUGCACUUUUUUCUUGUCUUUUUUAAUGCACUUUUCGUUUAACAAGUCAACAUCAAUUUCUUUUGUUGUAAAAGGGUAAUUGGAAGGUGGCUUUCUCUUCGGCGCAAGUGUUUAUAGCCUUUGACCUCUGCAAUCGGAGAGAUUGAGGUCUGCAGCGUAGAUCCUUCGGGGUUAGAUACAUUUGUGCUAAGCUAUAGCCUUUCAUAGACAACUUGUUGACUAUGAUCAGUCAUGUAGCUUACUCGCUUAUGUCUAUUUUACCUACGCUUAGGAUGUUGACAGCAGUAUAGACUGU
rnacentral:rRNA from 1 species